GAAUUGUUCGCAAUGGGCGCAAGCCUGACGACGCAACGCCGCGUGGGGGAUGAAGGUCCUCGGAUUGUAAACCCCUGUCGAGCGGGACGAAUGGCCCGCGACUCAACACGUCGUGGGAGUGACGGUACCGCUAAAGGAAGCCACGGCUAACUAUGUGCCAGCAGCCGCGGUAAUACAGAGGUGGCAAGCGUUGUUCGGAAUUACUGGGCGUAAAGGGCGCGUAGGCGGCUGUCUAAGUCAGACGUGAAAUCCCCCGGCUCAACCUGGGAAUUGCGUCUGAUACUGGGCGGCUCGAGUGCGGGAGAGGGAUGUGGAAUUCCAGGUGUAGCGGUGAAAUGCGUAGAUAUCUAGAGGAACACCGGUGGCGAAGGCGGCAUCCUGGACCGACACUGACGCUGAGGCGCGAAAGCUAGGGUAGCAAACGGG
rnacentral:rRNA from 1 species